rnacentral:rRNA from 1 species
AUUGAACGCUGGCGGCAGGCCUAACACAUGCAAGUCGAGCGGAUGAAGGGAGCUUGCUCCUGGAUUCAGCGGCGGACGGGUGAGUAAUGCCUAGGAAUCUGCCUGGUAGUGGGGGAUAACGUCCGGAAACGGGCGCUAAUACCGCAUACGUCCUGAGGGAGAAAGUGGGGGAUCUUCGGACCUCACGCUAUCAGAUGAGCCUAGGUCGGAUUAGCUAGUUGGUGGGGUAAAGGCCUACCAAGGCGACGAUCCGUAACUGGUCUGAGAGGAUGAUCAGUCAAACUGGAAAUGGAACCCGGGCCAGACUCCUACGGGAGGCAGGAGGGGGGAAUAUUGGAAAAUGGGGGAAAGCCUGAUCCAGCCAUGCCGGGGGUGUGAAGAAGGUCUUCGGAUUGUAAAGCCCUUUAAGUUGGGAGGAAGGGCAGUAAGUUAAAACCUGGCUGUUUGGACGUUACCAACAGAAAAAGCCCCGGCCAACUUCGU